GGGCCCGCACAAGCGGUGGAGUAUGUGGUUUAAUUCGAUGCAACGCGAAGAACCUUACCAGGGUUUGACAUCCUGCGAAUCUCCUGGAAACGGGAGAGUGCCUUCGGGAGCGCAGUGACAGGUGGUGCAUGGCUGUCGUCAGCUCGUGUCGUGAGAUGUUGGGUUAAGUCCCGCAACGAGCGCAACCCACGUCGUUAGUUGCCAGCAUUCAGUUGGGCACUCUAGCGAGACCGCCGGUGAUAAACCGGAGGAAGGUGUGGAUGACGUCAAGUCAUCAUGCCCCUUACAUCCUGGGCUACACACGUACUACAAUGCUACGGACAAAGGGCAGCAAGUUCGCGAGGACAAGCAAAUCCCAUAAACCGUGGCUCAGUUCAGAUCGUAGGCUGCAACUCGCCUACGUG
rnacentral:rRNA from 1 species